rnacentral:rRNA from 1 species
GAUGAACGCUGACAGAAUGCUUAACACAUGCAAGUCAACUUGAACUUCGGUUUGGGUGGCGGACGGGUGAGUAACGCGUAAAGAACUUGCCUCACAGAUAGGGACAACAUUUGGAAACGAAUGCUAAUACCUGAUAUUAUGAUUUUAGGGCAUCCUAGGAUUAUGAAAGCUAUAUGCACUGUGAGAGAGCUUUGCGUCCCAUUAGCUAGUUGGAGAGGUAACGGCUCACCAAGGCGAUGAUGGGUAGCCGGCCUGAGAGGGUGAUCGGCCACAAGGGGACUGAGACACGGCCCUUACUCCUACGGGAGGCAGCAGUGGGGAAUAUUGGACAAUGGACCAAGAGUCUGAUCCAGCAAUUCUGUGUGCACGAUGAAGUUUUUCGGAAUGUAAAGUGCUUUCAGUUGGGAAGAAAAAAAUGACGGUACCAACAGAAGAAGUGACGGCUAAAUACGUGCCAGCAGCCGCGGUAAUACGUAUGUCACAAGCGUUACCCGGAUUUAUUGGGCGUAAAGCGCGUCUAGGUGGUUAUGUAAGUCUGAUGUGAAAAUGCAGGGCUCAACUCUGUAUUGCGUUGGAAACUGUGUAACUAAAGUACUGGAGAGGUAAGCGGAACUACAAGUGUAGAGGUGAAAUUCGUAGAUAUUUGUAGGAAUGCCGAUGGGGAAGCCAGCUUACUGGACAGAUACUGACGCUGAAGCGCGAAAGCGUGGGUAGCAAACAGG